rnacentral:rRNA from 1 species
UGCAAGUCGAGCGGAAACGGCAGUAUUGAAGCUUCGGUGGAUUUACUGGACGUCGAGCGGCGGACGGGUGAGUAACGGCUGGGAACCUGCCCUGACGAGGGGGAUAACCGUUGGAAACGACGGCUAAUACCGCAUAAUGUCUUGAUUCGUUAGAGUCAGGACCAAAGGUGGCCUCUACAUGUAAGCUAUCGCGUUGGGAUGGGCCCAGUUAGGAUUAGCUAGUUGGUAAGGUAAUGGCUUACCAAGGCAACGAUCCUUAGCUGGUUUGAGAGGAUGAUCAGCCACACUGGGACUGAGACACGGCCCAGACUCCUACGGGAGGCAGCAGUGGGGAAUAUUGCACAAUGGGGGAGACCCUGAUGCAGCCAUGCCGCGUGUGUGAAGAAGGCCUUCGGGUUGUAAAGCACUUUCAGCAGUGAGGAAGGUCGUGUACUUAAUACGUGCACGGCUUGACGUUAGCUGCAGAAGAAGCACCGGCUAACUCCGUGCCAGCAGCCGCGGUAAUACGGAGGGUGCGAGCGUUAAUCGGAAUUACUGGGCGUAAAGCGCAUGCAGGCGGUUUGUUAAGUCAGAUGUGAAAGCCCGGGGCUCAACCUCGGAACCGCAUUUGAAACUGGCAGGCUAGAGUCUUGUAGAGGGGGGUAGAAUUUCAGGUGUAGCGGUGAAAUGCGUAGAGAUCUGAAGGAAUACCAGUGGCGAAGGCGGCCCCCUGGACAAAGACUGACGCUCAGAUGCGAAAGCGUGGGUAGCAAACAGGAUUAGAUACCCUGGUAGUCCACGCCGUAAACGCUGUCUACUUGGAGGUUGAGGUUUUAGACUUUGGCUUUCGGCGCUAACGCAUUAAGUAGACCGCCUGGGGAGUACGGCCGCAAGGUUAAAACUCAAAUGAAUUGACGGGGGCCCGCACAAGCGGUGGAGCAUGUGGUUUAAUUCGAUGCAACGCGAAGAACCUUACCUACUCUUGACAUCCAGCGAAGCCUUUAGAGAUAGAGGCGUGCCUUCGGGAGCGCUGAGACAGGUGCUGCAUGGCUGUCGUCAGCUCGUGUUGUGAAAUGUUGGGUUAAGUCCCGCAACGAGCGCAACCCUUAUCCUUGUUUGCC